rnacentral:rRNA from 1 species
UACAGAGGUCUCGAGCGUUAGGCGGAAUCACUGGGCUUAAAGCGUGUGUAGGCGGAUCGGUAAGUACCUUGUGAAAUCCCACAGCUUAACUGUGGAACUGCUUGGUAUACUGCCAGUCUUGAGCCAGCUAGGGGCUACCGGAACAGACGGUGGAGCGGUGAAAUGCGUAGAUAUCGUCUGGAACGCCAAUGGUGAAAACAGGUAGCUGGGGCUGUGCUGACGCUGAGACACGAAAGCCAGGGGAGCAAACG